CUGCAUACCACCCUGCCUCAUGAACUACACUGUGGACAUUACCAUGAUGAUUCCUGUAGCACUGCUACUGUUUUUAGCCUUCUUAGGGCUCAUCAAUGCUGAUAUGAUUACUCCAGAUAGUACUGAGGUCUCUCAUGUGGAGGGAUCUGGUUUAACCCUUUCAUGCAGCUACUCCUCCUCAAAUCCACAGUCUUGACAGUGGUACAGGGGUAUCACCAGCAUCCAAACUCAGCUCCUCAGCAUCUUCUCAGCAUGUUCUCUCCUGGGCCAAAUCAGACGUCAGAUGUGGACCCUCGUCUGUCAUAUUCCACAACACUCAACACUCAGCCCUGUAACGAGUCAUUUAACCAUAUACAGACUUACGAAGAUGAGUAAUUAACACGAAAACGUUGCCUGGUGUCCCUUUAAAUGGCAUCAAAGUCAUGGUCCACACUUUCAAGAACAUUUUGAAGAGUCUUUUAAUCAGCAUUAAUCAUAAUCAAGGAGUUCACAUGGUGCCAUUUCUCAGCUGUUUUUCUCACCUGUCUGACCAAACCUAUCUCACAGUAUAGCUCUACUACAAAUUAAUGAAUAAAUUGUGCUAUAAACUUCAAUCAGCAGUUACUGUAGAUAUUCAAUGUUUUUAUACACAGUAAAGCUGAAUAUUGUAGGUGUUAGGGAAUAGUUAGGUAAUUCAUCCAACUAUACUGUGAGAAAGAUACUGAUUAGAAAUAAUUAUUCCACAUUAGAAAAAAGUAAUUUUCUUCUCGUAACAUGAUGUUUUAAACAGUACAUAUCAGAUUGCAGAGUGAUUCAUUCAAUUAUGAUCACUGUCAUAAGAGCUCUCCAAUCAGCAUCCUCUGCUGCUGACUCUGCUACUGUAUGAGGGCAUUGACUGGAGGAGGAGCAUAGAAGACACAUGUUGUCUCCUCAGUCACCCUGUAGGCCUUGCAAACAUGUUUGAAGGGUUCAGUUCAAACUGUAUUUGUUUUCUGGAGAUGACGUUAACAAUGCUACUCUACAGAGUUCUUUGGCUCAGCAUCCUAACAGGUGUUUGCACAGGACAGAAAAUUACUUCAGACAGAACUGAAGUGUUCCCAGAGGAAGGAGUGAAUGUUAGCUUGUCCUGUAGCUACUCCUCUGCAUAUUCUCUCCAGUGGUAUGUCCAGUAUCCCAGAUCAGCUCCACAGUUCCUCCUGCUUGUGCUGCACUCCACUGGGAAAGACCCGAGCCCAGGCAAACAUCCUCGCCUGAUGGGGAAACUAAACCAAGAGAAAACUCAAGUGUUUCUGCAGAUCUCCUCUGUUCAAGUCUCUGACUCUGCACUGUACUACUGUGCUCUGGAGCCCACAGUGACACUAAACCCCUGACUCCCAUACAAAAACCUGACUGACAGCGAGGGAUUGUAUUGCUCUGUUGUCUGAAAUGCAGGGACAAGGAACUCUAACUAAAAACAAUUAAUUUCUCCUAUAGAAUUACAGUAAACAAAUCUUCAGGGGCCAUAUACUGUAUCUACAAAUGUAUUUUAUGCAAACAAUAACUCAUAACUCUAUGAUCAA